AGCAUUUUAGCUAUUAUAUUUAAAAGUUACAGCUGUAGGAAAUAGAUUCCAAAUCACUUUGCUACAUGGUUUCUGUUAUUCUCUAUUCUAUAAGCUUUGCUACACUCUUCUUCCAUGGAAAUUCCUACAUUUAUAGGAAGACUAAUUAGGAAGGUUUCUAUAUUGAUUUUUAAAAUCAGAGUCCAUUACAUAAUUGUUUCCAGCUUUUAGUGCAAGGAAAAUUUUGAAUACCUUUGUUGAUAAAAUUACAACAAGUUAACUUAUGUCAAUAACACAUAAUUAUGCUAGUACAGGAUUUCUCAUUUUAAAUUAGUGAUGUUUAUUAUUAAUUUCGUUUAAUAAAAAGGAAGGUUACAUACCAACUUGUUAUUACUACAAACAAUGUCUUCAUUCCCAUACCCACCAAAAAAAUUCUAUAUGCCAUAAAGAAUGGUUCAUGGCAUUUGAUUUAUCAUUUCUGCCUUUACUUACAUAUAUUGCGCUGCUCUAUCUCACUGCACAAGUAAUAAGCCACACUACCAAUACCCCUGAUAGAGAGUGCCUAAAGCAGUUCGAUGAAACUGUCAUCAUUACAACUGAGUAACAUGUACAGAAAAGUAACCUGAUAACCAGUCGUCAGAGGGUGGACUUGUGGGAAUGCUAGGUAAGCAGACUUAGUAAAUGUUUACAUUAAAAUAAAAUGUAGUCUUGGCAUUUGUGCACCAAAGAUCCUUUUACUGCCAUAUUUAUAAUGAGUUUGACAGCCUCAGGAAAUGACCUGAAUGGUAUCCAAUCUCCAGGAAGAAAUAUGCUUAAACUUGAUCUGGAAAGCAAGUUGGAUUCCAAGUGAUGUUUUCAAUCUCCCACGUAUUGAAUUUCCUUUUGUUCUUCUCAGCAUCAACUUUUCCCAUAAACAUAUAAAAUUGAGAAGGGUUUCCUAGUUUCAUAAAGAUUUCAAAUCUUUAAGUGCAUUUUAAUUUUCAAGUAAAUUAAUUUUUACUUCCAAAAGAAUCUUUAUCAAAAUAUUUUGUCUUCAUGUAUUGAUUUUCUAAGAAAUAGUUUUUACAUCUAUCUACUAAAGUACAAUUGCAACAUUGUACCAGCUAGACAAAACAUAAGAGGCCAAAGAGAGGUUUAGGAUAGUUGAUGUUUCAAACAAAAACAACUUUAAGCCUGUGAAACUAAAAAAACUUGAACAAGGAAUUUUUAAAUCUAGAUUUGAAUUGGAAAAAAAUCUAACCCAGAGAACUAAAAUAUCCUAAGCUUAAGGCUGUAGUCUGAUAUUCUGAUAUUUUAGUAUUUAUUCUACACAUUCUUUCUCCUGUUUUCUACAUACAAAACACUGCACAGCAGACAGCAUCACAAGAGAUAUAAAUAAACCAACACAUCUCCUUCCAAAAGUAGCUUAUAUUUACUAUUUGUAUUGGGGUAGAAGCUCAUGGAUGAGAGCCACACUGUUCUUGCAAUCAAAUGUGCAUAAGAAUGCAUAUAGCUCAGCUCUAGACAAGGCUAUUCUUGUAUUUGUAAUAUGCAUAAAAUGAUGUACAAAAUAAAAGAAGAAAAAUUUUAAGUACAUGGUACCUUUAAAAAUAAGUUUUCACAUAUCAGUAUUUGAUUUUACUAGAAUGUAUGUAUAGUAUUUCCGAUACAUAGCAUGGGAAAUAACACUGCAAACUGCACUUCUCAGGAAAGUAACAUGUUAAUUUUUAAAUUAUGUCCAUUAUAAAUUAAAGUAUUUUUACAGGUUACCUUGUAUAAUAUACAGACACUUAAGAGUAUCACUCUACUCUUGAAGAAAUUUCUCUGUCCAGAGAUUGUUCAGGAUAGAACUAAAAAAUCUUGAUGUGUCAUUUAUCACCAGAGAACUAGGGAACUCAUGUAUGAUAUCAGAAGCAUUUUUUAAAUUGAAUAUAUGAAAAAUUGAAUAAAUGUUACUGGAGGAAAAAUUUCUAAAAGACAAUCACUGGCUAAAAAGCAGUCUGUUUUAUAGGGGAAGUGAAAGUCAAUAUAUACAUUUAUAACAAAUGUAAGAAAGGAGAAACUGAUUGUAAUGAUCAUAAAUCUGAAGUAAAAAUUGAUAAGGGAAGCAAAGGGACAUAAAGAGAAAUAUAUGGACAGCAGAGUUAAGAUCAAUAAAGAGGGUUUUUAAAGGGUAUUAAAAGAAUCCUAAAAAUGGGACUGAUCUAUCAUGCAAAUAGUAGAACGGUCAACAGUAAUGCAGAAAAGACAGAGGAGUUCAAUAAAUAUUUCUGGUUUGCAUUUGGGAAAAAUAGGUGAUAAAGUCGAAUGACAAUGACAAUUAUAUAUUUUACAUCCUAAGAGAAACUCAAUAAUGUUAAACAGAAGCCACUAAAGCUAGAUAUUACAUUCACAAAAUUUUAAAAGAACUGGCCAAGAAGUUCUCUGGGCUGUUAAUGUUGUUUUUCAAUUAGCCUUGGAACUCUGGGGAAGUUCCAGAAGACGGAAAGAAAGCUAAGGUUGUGCCAGUAUUUUUAAAAAGUAAACAGGAUGACCAAGGUAAUUAUAGGCUUAUCAACCUGACACUGACCCCAAGCAAAAUAAUGAAACAGCUGAUAGAGAACUUGAUUAAUAAAGAAUUAAAGGAAGGUAUUCCAACUACAUAUUUGAAUCUGAGAUACAGGCUGUGAUUGGCUCCGGGGAUAGUGUUGCAAGUCAGGGGCAUUGUAACUCAAGCCCGCAUUUACAACAGGUGUCGUACGCCAUCGUAAAUACGGGGCCGAAGAUGUAAAUCGGGGGAUUUUGGCCCCUUCUGCACUUACAGAAAAUGUCGUAAUAACAGAAGAUAAUGCCCUCUGAUGGAAAAGGCACCUAGUUUGCUGACUCUCUACUGUGGUUUAAUAGCCAGCAAGAAGAAAGCGUUAGCCCAUGUGAAGAUGGAGUGAGUCAGAAGUCACUGGCCAUUAAGCAGUUUGGCAAAAUGCCAGCAGAGGGAGCAUGCAGCAGCAAUAGAGAAAAGUAACUGUUAAGUACCAGCUUCCAGACGAAUGGAAAUUGCAGGAUACCCAUGAGAUAAGGGCAACAGUUGAUUUGGUAUAUGAGAAAGGCAUUCUGCAAUUUGCAUUGUUAUACAUUAUGAGAUUGAAAUAUCCAGCCAGAGCCUCUGGUAACCAUUAUAAAUACGCACACUUAAAAUAGUUUGACAAAUACACGUUAUGGCAAAUAAGCCACCAGAGCCGAAGGUGUUUUCUCCUCCUCGUCAUCCCUUUAUUUUCCUAAAAGGAGUGGGUGGGUGGUGGGUAAGAGGUUCCCAGAACAAAAAAAGCAAGUGAGAGACUGUGCAGUACUAAAAGAUAAGUGCCGAACAAGAAUGUAUUCCACAAUUUCUCUUAUGUUUUGCAGCACAUUUUCCUCCCAGAGAUGGUAAGUAAUUUUUAAGAUUUUUUUCCCCUAGUGGUGGUCAAAUAAACUUCAAAUUUCCUUAACAUCACAUCAUUUGACUUCAUGCCUAAGUCUGAUACAGAAACUGAGCUGGUAAAGUGAGCCAGUGUCUUGGCCCUGGAUGAAGAUAAAAGAAUUCAUGCUGCUUCUUUUAGCUCCAGCAGCCCCCUUAUGCUGAAGGAAUCUCUUAUGCAGAGUAAUGCAACAGCUCUAUUUUAUCACCCUAGAGCAGGGGUUGGCAACGUACAGCACACGUGCCACAAAUGUCAUGCAAGAUGAUUUUCAGUGGCACGCGCAAUGAACGGGCUCCACCUUGCUCUCCACUUCUACAAUGGUGAACCCGUGCUGGCGAUCCAGCAUCACACCCCCUCCCUCCCUGUAAGACUGGAGCCAGCGCCAGCUUCCUGAGGGGGGAGGGAGGAAGCCCUGAAGCUCCGCACCAGAUCUAGCUAGUGGGAAAGUGCGUGCUGCUUCUCUCCUCCUCAUAGCAACACACACGCUGCUUUAUACACGCAACCUUCACUCAUGCUCCCGGGAGGUGGGAAAUGGGAGCUGAGUGGCCUCCCCCUGCCUGGAAGCCCUGGGCAAGAGACCAAGCAGGGCGCAGUGUGGAGAGACCUCUCCCCCACUUCUGGGAGAGCGGCAUGGCCCAGGGCAGGAGGGUAUGCUGGGGCAUGCCAUUUCUGAAAGAUGGCCAACCUCUGCCCUAGAACACUGCAAAUUUGCAGAUAUCCACUUUAUAUCUGUGAGUAUCCACAUCUGCAGCUGUCAAUGUGGAUAUCCGCAGUUCAUUUUUGCAGAUCCAAAGGAGGAGGAUAUGGAUACAAAUUUUGUGUCCAUGCAGGGCUCUAUAUCACCCUUCAUUUUUCAAUAGGUAUAUAAGCCUUGAGGCAGGGUAUAUGGUGAACUACAAAAUCUAUUUCCCUUGGCUACCCUGGGAGGCUUUGUAAGAGAUGAACUGUGGUUUCUUAAUCCACAGGCUAGAUGAUAUUUUAUAUAGACAAAUUAAGGCUCAAAUUAUAUUCUGUGCAUGAACUAGCUGAAUUGUAUUGUAUUCAUAGGCAUGCUCACAGGGUGUGCUGGGAGUGCCCGGGCACACCCUAAUGUCUCGGGCUGGCUGGCAGCUGCUGGAGGAGGAGGGGGAUUUGAGACGGGGUACCACAGCCUGUCACUUUUCCUGCAGCCAUCUACGGGGCACUUUGGGGCAGAAAGCGCGCAUGCGCGGUGGAAGCAGCUGGGGCCAGACCAAAGAUGCCAGCCCGAGCCAUUUUUUUGCCCCGAGCCCGACAGAAGGGCAGACACCUGCAGGGGAGGAACCAGCACCAGAGAAGCGAAGCAGGGCAGAUGUCAACGUGUUCUACAAAGAAGUACAAGUAUUCAUAUACCCAUUUCAUGGAUAGGGAAACCGAAGCAGAUAGGUGAAAAGACUUUUUCCUCAGUCACACUAUAUGACAAUAGAAGAACCAAGAAAAUAACUGAAGUGUCUCAACCCCCAGUCCAAUGCCCUUGCUACCAGGCCAUGCUUUCUUCUCCAGCAAUACCUAAUUCUUUGUUGAAUUCUUAAUUUUGUAUAGAUUUUAGGACUUAGGCAAAUGCUUUAUUAUGUCUUAAUAAAUACAUUCUGAUCAAGGUUCCCUGCAAGCUGAGUGACCACACGGGUGCGCAGCCCAUUUCUGAGCUCCAUGCAGCAGUUCACAGCUUCUUACGCAUGCAGGAAGCUCAGCUGAUUGGCUGGGGAAAGAGGGUGGGGCAUGAACUAGCUCACUCUCUUGGAGGAGCAGAAGCAGCAGCAGCAACUGCUACCUAUCAUAAAUGGAGAAGCCUCUACUCCAAGGCUGGACAAAAGAUGAUCUGCAGGCUAAGGAUGUUAAGGACUAUCAGAGGCAGCAAAGGGGGAGGAAG